AGGAAGUUGGCUUCACUAGGGCAAGGAAUGAAUGGCCACCACUGCUUUUGUGCCAAAGGACUAAGCCUCCCUGGGAGAGAGGACAAGAACAGGCUGGAGGAGGGGUGCCCUUCAUCAUCUUGUGAGCAUCUGGGCCAAGUUCAGGGCUGGUGCUCUCGUUCAGAUAGAUUUAGCUGGUGGUGCAGAGAUCCGUGAGCUUGCUUUUACAGGACUUUAAUGAUAUAUAAAAGCAGCACGAGGUGCUCCUGACUGUGGAUUAAUUUGGAGAUGACUUUCUCUGUUGAAGAGUAGCAAGACUCUCGCGAGUUCUUAAAAAUGCACUUGUUUGGUAUGAGAAUGAAAAGCAGUGGCUGAAGAACCAAUCUUCAAUGGGCAAGCCUUCUCUGUGUCUGUUCUAACACGUGCCAUUUGGGAUCCCUUGGAAUCUUCAUGUACAGAACUGGUUGCUGCCUCGUUGAGUCGGUGGGGACAGAAUAGCUCCUGGUUGACAGCAUGGGUUGUGCAGAAGGACGGAUCCUGCAGACAUCAAUAUCUGGCUUUGAGUGGCACAAAGAAAUAAAGGAAUGUGGAUUCAGACCUCACUGGGAUGCUUGGCAAUUCUAAUUCUACCCCAGACUGCAAAUGGACACACAACUGUUGUGACUUUUGUUGAAGAGGAGAAGGAUGGCACAGAAGCUGGAUUCAGAAGCACACAGGUCUGGGGAUGCAGGCUUCGGCCAGCCUGAUGCAAGGAAAGACUGCCAUCUCGUGGUCAGCUCAAUCCUGGCACCUUGGUGAGGGACCAGGCUGCAGAAAACCAGGCUUGGGGAGGAAACGGUGCUGCAAACUGGAUUUCUGCCGGACAGUGUGGAUGCCCUUAGAAAACACCCAGAAAAGAGCUGAGUGCCCCCCAAGGUAGGCUUCAGUGAAUCCUCUGCAGGUGUGUUGUCAUCCCUUGAGCCAAACACAUGCUUCACACACACGCUGCAGGCUGCGUGAAAAUGAGGUAGAAAUGUGGGGAAAACAUAAUCCCAUGGAGAGAACAAAGAGCUGAACACGUAAAUGCCUCCGGCGUGCCUGGCAGAGAGAACACUCAGGCUGAGAGAAGGGACAGUGACUUGUACCAAAGGUAGGCAAGUAGCCUCUGGGGUCUCAAUCAGCAGGGCAUCUGGUCAACCCUUCAGACAAAGUCAGGUCUGAGCAGGCAAGAUCCAUGGAUCUGAUUUAUUAAUAUUUUUACAAUUAAAUAGAAUCUGAUUGUAAAACUGUUACAUGUGUUGUAAGAAAAAAAGAAAAAAAGGAAGGAUAUAGAAAUGUACAAAGAAGGAAAUAAAAGACUGGAAGCGUCCUCACCUUAGGGACCCAUUAUUAACGCUUAGGUGGCCAAUCUUCCAGACAUCUUGCUACGAAUAUAUUCAAACGGGAAUUAAAAAUGUACUUUUACACAAGUGCAAUCAGACCUUGUACUCCUCUAUCCCAUAACCUACUUUUUCAUUCAACACUAUGACAGAAGCGUCUUUCCAGGUCCAUAAAUAAAGACUUGCCCUGAAUUCUUUCAUGUGCAAUAUCCGAAAACCCUCUCUUGGGGCCUGGAUCAGGACCCCUUUCCUAUAACAUCUUUCUGGCGACAACAAAGGGACAAUGGUGUGGAAUCCCCCUUCCCAAAUGCUACUUUUAGAUAUCACCUUUUGUCGGAACUUGGAGUUGGUAAUGACCUUCACCAUACCACCACUCUGGGACUGAGCUUCUCUCUACCCUGAUGCAAGAGACCCUAAUAGGCAGGAAUAUGACCACCCCUAUUCAGCCUGAAGAAGUUACAGAAGUUCUGAAACCCUUAGAAAUGAGGGUCUUCUUGUAAAGGGAGUGGGGAGAUAUAUCAGAGGCAUUUGAACCAGAGCAACUCCAUCUUGAGUGAGGGCUAGGAAAAUGAGGCUAGGACUUGCUGGGCUGCAUUCUCAGAAAGUCAGUCAUUCCUAGCCUCUAGAUGUUUACGGUUAAGGGAACAAAUUUAUAACAUUUACUAAACACACCCAGACUUGGGAGUGUCCAGAUAUCCCAAUAUCUGGAGAACAAAGGCAUUCCUAAUUUUGCUUUAAAGACAAUAAUAUUGAUUCUUGCAAAAUAUAGUAAUUAAGAAAAUUAAUCCUUUAUCACAAACCCUUGUAGUAAAACACAUCUCCCCAUAUAUACAAGCAUUGUACCUAAGGUGGAUGCGUUCCAUCUCUUACUUUCAGGAAUGUCCUACACUAUCUAAGGAGUAGCUGUACUUUCACCACUUUACUUUCUUAAUAAACUUGUUU
rnacentral:lncRNA from 10 species